rnacentral:rRNA from 1 species
GAUGAACGCUGGCGGCGUGCCUAAUACAUGCAAGUCGAGCGAACAGACGAGGAGCUUGCUCCUCUGACGUUAGCGGCGGACGGGUGAGUAACACGUGGAUAACCUCCCUAUAAGACUGGGAUAACUUCGGGAAACCGGAGCUAAUACCGGAUAAUAUAUUGAACCGCAUGGUUCAAUAGUGAAAGACGGUUUUGCUGUCACUUAUAGAUGGAUCCGCGCCGCAUUAGCUAGUUGGUAAGGUAACGGCUUACCAAGGCAACGAUGCGUAGCCGACCUGAGAGAGUGAUCGGCCACACUGGAACUGAGACACGGUCCAGACUCCUACGGGAGGCAGCAGUAGGGAAUCUUACGCAAUGGGCGAAAGCCUGACGGAGCAACGCCGCGCGAGUGAUGAAGGUCUUCGGAUCGUAAAACUCUGUUAUUAGUGAAGAACAAAUGUGUAAGUAACUAUGCACGUCUUGACGGUACCUAAUCAGAAAGCCACGGCUAACUACGUG